AUACUUACCUGGCGUAGGGAUACCAUGGUCAUGCAGGCGGUUCCCCUAGGGUGAGACUGCUCCAUUGCACUGCGGAGUGGUAGACCCUUGCGAUUAUUUUUGUUUUUUAUAAGUUUCACUUCUACCGUGUGUGAGUUGCACACACACU
rnacentral:snRNA from 9 species